CCGCCCUUAGCUCAGUAGCAGAGCACUUGGCUGAUAACCGAGAGACGGAGGUGCGAUUCCUCCCGGGCGGA
rnacentral:tRNA from 2 species